AGGAUUAACGCUGGCGGCGUGCCUAACACAUGCAAGUCGAACGAGGUAGCAAUACCUAGUGGCAGACGGGUGAGUAACGCGUGGUCAACCUACCGUUGAGUGGGGGAUAACUAGCCGAAAGGUUAGCUAAUACCGCAUACGUCUCCGAGGGGCAUCCCUUGGCGAUAAAAGGAGCAAUCCGCUCGAUGACGGGACCGCGUCCCAUUAGCUAGAUGGUGGGGUAACGGCCUACCAUGGCACCGAUGGGUAGCUGGUUUGAGAGAGCGACCAGCCACACUGGGACUGAGAAACGGCCCAGACUCCUACGGGAGGCAGCAGUGAGGAAUUUUCCGCAAUGGGCGCAAGCCUGACGGAGCGACGCCGCGUGUGGGAAGAAGGCCUUCGGGUCGUAAACCACUGUCGAAGGGGACGAUAAUGACGGUACCUUGGAGGAAGCCCCGGCUAACUACGUGCCAGCAGCCGC
rnacentral:rRNA from 1 species